GCAAACUUGGUCAUUUAGAGGAAGUACAAGUCGUAACAAGGUAUCCGUAGGUGAACCUGCGGAUGGAUCAUUAACAAAGGAAGUGUCCAAUGUAGUGUGAACUGUAUUGAGCAUGGUCAGUGAGUGGUGUUGGUUGAUUGUGUGGGUGGGUGAUGUUUGUGGGGUGAUUGUAGAGCAAUGUUCUACGGUGGUUGCUGAGUUGUUCAGCAGUGCUUGUAGGACAGUGCUCUGCAGUGACUGCGAGUUCGGCAGCGCUUGCAGGACAGUGUCCUGCUGUGAUUGCAGGCUCGCCAAUGCUGCAGUUAACAACAACCCACACCCCAUCAGUCCAGCGCCUCGCACUGGCCGUACCAUACCUAAACGUACAUUCUUGCUUGCAUACUGACGUCUACUCUGGUAGCAUUAUAGUAACUAGAGACAACUUUUAGCAACGGAUCUCUUGGCUCUCGCAUCGAUGAAGAACGCAGC
rnacentral:misc_RNA from 1 species